GGGGGAGGAGUGCCAAGAUCCAUGACGGGCUGUAAAUCCGUCGGCUUAGCCUACGCAGGUUCGAACCCUGCACCCGCCA
rnacentral:tRNA from 1 species